CCAGGGCAGCUCUGCUGUCUCCUCCCCUUUCCAGAUAAUUCAAGCAUCUCCCCCUGCGUCCGGAACACAGCCCCACGUGUUUCCAGGAAGGAGGGGGAGAGCAGUGCGGGCUCCAGGCAGUUGUCCGAGGCAGGAAGGGAAGCACAGCCUGAAGUCGCGGCCCUCUGUAAUGGCUUCGGGAAUAUUUCAGCUGCAACUGUCACUGUUGGCACCAGGCUCCAUCACCCUCAGAUGAAGGGCUCCUGGGCUACACUAAGAAAGAAAGAAAGAAAGAAAGAAAGAAAGAAAGAAAGAAAGAAAGAAAGAAAGAAAGAAAGAAAGAAAGAAAGAAAGAAGGAAGGAAGGAAGGAAGGAAGGAAGGAAGGAAGGAAGGAAGGAAGGAAGACAGACAAGAAAAGCCCUGGAACCCACUUUGGAAUCUGCAGAGAACUGUUACCUGUACCACACCUUUUGUCAUCUCAUCGACCCUGAAAAUUAAUCAGAUGCCCAGAACAUUUCGUGUCACAGAAGCCAUCUCAGAAACGACACCCACGCCCAGGAGAGACAGAGGACUGCUGGCAGGAACCCCUGAGGACACAGCCACUGGGAAGCUCAAUUUGCUCAUCUUCACGAAAAUCGCCGCUUGAUAAUUUUGCUCCCCUAAAUGAGUCACCAAUAGCAUACUUGGGAAAAACCACAUCAAAGAUCUCAGUAUAUUGUCUCUGUGAUUAUCUAAGGAGCUGACUACAGCUUCCACCGCAGCAGAGUGGAAAUUAGCUUAAAGUAAUGUUUCUUAAAGUGUAGCACUUAGACUAACUAUACCAGCGUCACCCAGAAACCUGAGAAAAUGCAGAUCCUUGGGCCUGAGUCCCUCCGCCCCAGACCUACAGAAUCAGAGACUAUGGGGGUGGGCCCAACAACCUGUGAUUCAACAAGUCUUCAAGGUAAUUCUGACGGAUGCUGAAGUUUGAGAACCACUGGCCUGGGAGAGGCAGCCAGGGCAGCCAUCUUUGCCUCCCCUGCCUGCCCCUCUUACUGCUCAGGAUCAUCACAGACAGUUGGUAUCAGUCCUUUAUCUCCAAGCGCAUUCAUCUCUGGAGACGCUGCAGAGCAUCAGUGGGUAGGGAAGUCUGGAGUCCAGUGAUGUAAAACUGACUUCACCCAUCUGGAUAAAUUGUGAGGAAAGGGGCCCUAAGUGGUGUUGUGGUUAAGAAUACAAACUCAGGGGUCACCUGGGUAGCUCAGUUGGUUAAGCAUCUAACUCUUGGUUUCAGCUCAGGUCAUGAUCUUACGGUUCAUGAGUUCGAGCCCUGCAUGGGGCUCUGCACUGGCAGCACAGAGCCUGCUUGGGAUCCUCUUGCUCCCUUCUCUCUGCCCCUCCCCUGCUCAUGCAUGCUGUCUCUCUCUCUCUCAAAAUCAAUAAACUUUUUAAAAAAAAUGUGAUAAAAUAAAAGAAGAAUACAACUUCAGGAAUCAGA